rnacentral:lncRNA from 1 species
GUGACUUUGGGUGGGUCCCUCUCCUCUCCCUGGUUCCUCAUCUGCUUCCAAGACUGCCCCCUCCCUCCCUGAGCCCAAAGUGCCGAUGCCUGGGGAGGGCCCAGCCUGGACUAAGGCCCAGCGGCGGGAGGAGCCUGGGUUGGAGGCCGGGAGCAGCGGGGCGAACGGCAGCAAAUAUUUAUGGAGCCGGGUCUGUGCCAGGCUCAGGGCUGGGUGUGGCGAGAUAAGGGGGCCGGGGGAGGCGCCCGGAAUUGGCCUCCAACCCGCUCGCCCCAGGGAGGCCGGGAGCCGGGCAGGGGGAGGUGCCCGGGAAGGAGGGCUGGGCGCUGGGGUCGUGCAGGCAGGGGUCCCCGUGGAGCCUCGGGCCCCUCUGGAGAGUGGUUCACACUUCGCAGGUCAGCUCCAGCCUGGUUGGUAUGAAGCCUUCUCCCACCCAGAAGCCCCAAGCGCUCUCGCUGCGGUGGCACCUCCCGGCUGUCCCCGGCUUCCCCUUGGGCACCAGUCUGUGUUUUGUUGAUAGCACCUGAGGUGGAAACAGAUGGGCUUGAAAACCAGGUGGGCUUAUGGGUACUUUUGCCACACUCCCCACCAGGCUAUUCACACAGAAGCCAGGGAGAAUCUGUUACACCAGGAGAGG